rnacentral:rRNA from 1 species
CAGCAGCCGCGGGAAUACGAAGGGUGCAAGCGUUACUCGGAAUUACUGGGCGUAAAGCGUGCGUAGGCGGUGGUUUAAGUCCGUUGUGAAAGCCCUGGGCUCAACCUGGGAACUGCAGUGGAUACUGGACCACUAGAGUGUGGUAGAGGAUAGUGGAAUUUCCGGUGUAGCAGUGAAAUGCGUAGAGAUCGGAAGGAACAUCUGUGGCGAAGGCGACUAUCUGGGCCAACACUGACACUGAGGCACGAAAGCGUGGGGAGCAAACAGGAUUAGAUACCCCUGUAGUCCCUGUCUCUUAUAC